AGUGAAUAGAUACCCAGGUAGUCCACGCCCUAAACGAUGAUAACUCGAUGUUGGCGAUACACAGUCAGCGUCUAAAGCGAAAGCAUUAAGUUAUCCACCUGGGAAGUACGACCGCAAGGUUGAAACUCAAAGGAAUUGACGGGGGCCGCACAAGCGGAGGAGCAUGUGGUUUAAUUCGAUGAUACGCGAGGAACCUUACCUGGGCUUGAAAGUUAGUGACCGUCCCUGAAAGGGGACCGUUCAGCAAUGACACGAAACUAAGGUGCUGCAUGGCUGUCGUCAGCUCGUGCCGUGAGGUGUUGGGUUAAGUCCCGUAACGAGCGCAACCCUAUCAUUAGUUGCCAUCGGGUAAAGCCGGGGACGUCUAAUGAGACUGCCGCGCAAGCGGUGAGGAAGGUGGGGAUGACGUCAAGUCAUCACGGCCCUUACGUCCAGGGCUACACACGUGCUACAAUGGCAGAUACAGAAGGUUGCCACAU
rnacentral:rRNA from 1 species